rnacentral:rRNA from 1 species
GGUGACCUGCGGAAGGAUCAUUACCGAAUUGCUAACAUGGGUUGUUGCUGGCCCUCAAACAUGGGGGCAUGUGCACGCUCUGUUUGCACAUCCACUCACACCUGUGCACCCUAUGUAGUUCUAUGGCCUGGGGCACUCUGUUCUCUUGCGCCGUGGUUCUAUAUCUUUACACACACACACACACAGUAAUAAAGUCUCAUGGAAUGUAUGCCGCGUUUAACGCAAUACAAUACAACUUUCAGCAACGGAUCUCUUGGCUCUCGCAUCGAUGAAGAACGCAGCGAAAUGCGAUAAGUAAUGUGAAUUGCAGAAUUCAGUGAAUCAUCGAAUCUUUGAACGCACCUUGCGCCCUUUGGCUAUUCCGAAGGGCAUGCCUGUUUGAGUAUCAUGAACACCUCAACUCUCAUGGUUUUCCAUGGAGAGCUUGGAAUUUGGAGGUCUUUGCUGGCCUGUGGUCAGCUCCUCUCAAAUGAAUCAGCUUGCCAGUGUUUGGUGGCGUCACAAGUGUGAUAACUAUCUACGCUUGUGGUUUUCUGCCAGAUGACCUUCAGCGAUGGAGGUCCACUGGAGCUCAUAAAUGUCCCUCCCCAGUGAGGACAGCUCUUUGAAUGUUUGAUCUCAAAUCAGGUAGGACUACCCGCU